CUUGGCGGUUGGCGGUUACCAUAGCAACCGGUAACCGACGGCUCCGCCCCCUUUUUUCCCGUUCGUCGUUCUGUAACCGUGGUAACUGGAAUCAGCUCUGUGUUUUCUUUACAAGUAUUACAUUUUAACAUAGUUUAGACAAAUGUAAUAACAUUCAUAUUUAUCUGUUAUCAUUCUUAAUGCUGUGCAUUUUAUCUAUGUUUAAUUUUACAACGGCUAACUGCUGUUAGCUAGCAGCUAACUUCUCAUUGGGAUUUAUUGCUCUAAUAAAUCCGGUGAACCUGCUGGACCUGUGGCGAACUUAGAGGGGCUACAUGUGUAACCAAAUUAUUAAGGUUCCCCCAACUUAAUCUAUUGUGCGCUUCACAUGUCGAACAUUAAAACAACGCCCCGCCCCGCUCCGGUCCUGCCCGCCCCGCCCC